GGAAAGAAAACAAAGCAUUCGGUCGAAGCGGGCACGCGCCUGAGUCUCACAGUACUGUAACCAGCCACUACCCAAACGCGCUACUUUUUUUCAACCAGAGCCUGCAAAGCCACGAUUCAGCUUUUUGCCGCCUUCUGAGAGCCUAUGGGAGCCGUAGGAAGUGUCACGUUAUAGCAGAGAUCCUCAGUCUUCAAUAAACAGAGGCAAGAAGAACGACACCUUGUCAGACAGGCCACUUCCUGCAUGAAAUCUUCUCAGGUUUUGGCCUGCCAUAUGAGUUCUGUUAUACUCACAGACACCAUUCAAACAGUUUUAGAAACUUUAGGGUGUUUUCUAUCCAAAGCCAAUAAUUAUAUGCAUAUUCUAGUUACUGGGCAGGUGUAGUAACCAGAUUAAAUCGGGUACGUUUUUUAUCCAGCCAUGUCAAUACUGCCCCCUAGCCCUAACAGGUUAACAAUAG
rnacentral:lncRNA from 1 species